rnacentral:rRNA from 1 species
GGGUUGUGAGGUUAAGCGACUAAGCGUACACGGUGGAUGCCCUGGCAGUCAGAGGCGAUGAAGGACGUGCUAAUCUGCGAAAAGCGUCGGUAAGGUGAUAUGAACCGUUAUAACCGGCGAUGUCCGAAUGGGGAAACCCAGUGCAAUUCGUUGCACUAUCGUUAACUGAAUACAUAGGUUAACGAGGCGAACCGGGGAACUGAAACAUCUAAGUACCCCGAGGAAAAGAAAUCAACCGAGAUUCCCCAGUAGCGGCGAGCGAACGGGGAGCAGCCCAGAGUCUGAAUCAGCUUGUGUGUUAGUGGAACGGUCUGGAAAGUCCGACGGUACAGGGUGAUAGUCCCGUACACCAAAAUGCACAGGUUGUGAACUCGAAGAGUAGGGCGGGACACGUGGUAUCCUGUCUGAAUAUGGGGGACCAUCCUCCAAGGCUAAAUACUCCUGACUGACCGAUAGUGAACCAGUACCGUGAGGGAAAGGCGAAAAGAACCCCGGCGAGGGGAGUGAAAAAGAACCUGAAACCGUGUACGUACAAGCAGUGGGAGCACCUUCGGGUGUGACUGCGUACCUUUUGUAUAAUGGGUCAGCGACUUAUAUUCUGUAGCAAGGUUAACCGUAUAGGGAGCCGCAGGGAAACCGAGUCUUAACUGGGCGUUAAGUUGCAGGGUAUAGACCCGAAACCCGGUGAUCUAGCCAUGGGCAGGUUGAAGGUUGGGUAACACUAACUGGAGGACCGAACCGACUAAUGUUGAAAAAUUAGCGGAUGACUUGUGGCUGGGGGUGAAAGGCCAAUCAAACCGGGAGAUAGCUGGUUCUCCCGAAAGCUAUUUAGGUAGCGCCUCGUGAACUCAUCUUCGGGGUAGAGCACUGUUUCGGCUAGGGGUCAUCCCGACUUACCAACCCGAUGCAAACUACGAAUACCGAAGAAUGUUAUCACGGGAGACACACGGCGGGUGCUAACGUCCGUCGUGAAGAGGGAAACAACCCAGACCGCCAGCUAAGGUCCCAAAGUCAUGGUUAAGUGGGAAACGAUGUGGGAAGGCACAGACAGCCAGGAUGUUGGCUUAGAAGCAGCCAUCAUUUAAAGAAAGCGUAAUAGCUCACUGGUCGAGUCGGCCUGCGCGGAAGAUGUAACGGGGCUAAACCAUGCACCGAAGCUGCGGCAGCGACACUAUGUGUUGUUGGGUAGGGGAGCGUUCUGUAAGCCUGCGAAGGUGUGCUGUGAGGCAUGCUGGAGGUAUCAGAAGUGCGAAUGCUGACAUAAGUAACGAUAAAGCGGGUGAAAAGCCCGCUCGCCGGAAGACCAAGGGUUCCUGUCCAACGUUAAUCGGGGCAGGGUGAGUCGACCCCUAAGGCGAGGCCGAAAGGCGUAGUCGAUGGGAAACAGGUUAAUAUUCCUGUACUUGGUGUUACUGCGAAGGGGGACGGAGAAGGCUAUGUUAGCCGGGCGACGGUUGUCCCGGUUUAAGCAUGUAGGCUGAUUGUCCAGGCAAAUCCGGAUAAUCAAGGCUGAGGUGUGAUGACGAGGCACUACGGUGCUGAAGUAACAAAUGCCCUGCUUCCAGGAAAAGCCUCUAAGCAUCAGGUAACAUUAAAUCGUACCCCAAACCGACACAGGUGGUCAGGUAGAGAAUACCAAGGCGCUUGAGAGAACUCGGGUGAAGGAACUAGGCAAAAUGGUGCCGUAACUUCGGGAGAAGGCACGCUGGUGUGUAGGUGAAGUCCCUGCGGAUGGAGCUGAGACCAGUCGAAGAUACCAGCUGGCUGCAACUGUUUAUUAAAAACACAGCACUGUGCAAACACGAAAGUGGACGUAUACGGUGUGACGCCUGCCCGGUGCCGGAAGGUUAAUUGAUGGGGUUAUCCGUAAGGAGAAGCUCUUGAUCGAAGCCCCGGUAAACGGCGGCCGUAACUAUAACGGUCCUAAGGUAGCGAAAUUCCUUGUCGGGUAAGUUCCGACCUGCACGAAUGGCGUAAUGAUGGCCAGGCUGUCUCCACCCGAGACUCAGUGAAAUUGAACUCGCUGUGAAGAUGCAGUGUACCCGCGGCAAGACGGAAAGACCCCGUGAACCUUUACUAUAGCUUGACACUGAACAUUGAGCCUUGAUGUGUAGGAUAGGUGGGAGGCUUUGAAGCGUGGACGCCAGUCUGCGUGGAGCCAACCUUGAAAUACCACCCUUUAAUGUUUGAUGUUCUAACGUUGGCCCCUUACCGGGGUUGCGGACAGUGUCUGGUGGGUAGUUUGACUGGGGCGGUCUCCUCCCAAAGCGUAACGGAGGAGCACGAAGGUUAGCUAAUCCUGGUCGGACAUCAGGAGGUUAGUGCAAUGGCAUAAGCUAGCUUGACUGCGAGCGUGACGGCGCGAGCAGGUGCGAAAGCAGGUCAUAGUGAUCCGGUGGUUCUGAAUGGAAGGGCCAUCGCUCAACGGAUAAAAGGUACUCCGGGGAUAACAGGCUGAUACCGCCCAAGAGUUCAUAUCGACGGCGGUGUUUGGCACCUCGAUGUCGGCUCAUCACAUCCUGGGGCUGAAGUAGGUCCCAAGGGUAUGGCUGUUCGCCAUUUAAAGUGGUACGCGAGCUGGGUUUAGAACGUCGUGAGACAGUUCGGUCCCUAUCUGCCGUGGGCGCUGGAGAAUUGAGGGGGGCUGCUCCUAGUACGAGAGGACCGGAGUGGACGCAUCACUGGUGUUCGGGUUGUCAUGCCAAUGGCACUGCCCGGUAGCUAAAUGCGGAAGAGAUAAGUGCUGAAAGCAUCUAAGCACGAAACUUGCCCCGAGAUGAGUUCUCCCUGAGACUUUAAGUCUCCUGAAGGAACGUUGAAGACGACGACGUUGAUAGGCCGGGUGUGUAAGCGCAGCGAUGCGUUGAGCUAACCGGUACUAAUGAACCGUGAGGCUUAACCUUACAACGCCGAAG